UACGUAGGGGGCAAGCGUUGUCCGGAUUUACUGGGCGUAAAGAGCGCGCAGGCGGUCGAUCAAGUCGAGUGUGAAAGCCCCCGGCUCAACUGGGGAGGGUCAUUCGAUACUGAUCGACUCGAAGGCAGGAGAGGGUAGUGGAAUUCCUGGUGUAGCGGUGAAAUGCGCAGAUAUCAGGAGGAACACCGAUGGCGAAGGCAGCUCGCUGGGACGGUACUGACGCUGAGACGCGAAAGCGUGGGGAGCGAACAGG
rnacentral:rRNA from 1 species